UUAUAACCUAGCACAUAAUGUGUACAUAAUGCGCACGUACGCGUCCCACUCUCUUGGCCUCUCUCGCGAUUUUGUCUUAGCGAUUUUGUCGGCACUCAUUUGUCCGUCGCGGUUUUGUCGGCACUCAUAUGUCUAUCGUGCUUUUGUCGGUGAACC